UAGUCUUUUUUGGUAGAAUAUAGUGAUUUACCAUCGUUAUCAUCUCCUAAACUCAACAAAAUAUAUUGCUUUUUCUGUAGCCAUUAAUUAGAGGACGGUUGAUUUCCAAUUAGGCUCACAAAAUGCUAUGACAAUAAUGUUAUUAGGCCUUGCUAAUUCAUUAUACGGCAAUUUGUAUAUAAAGGACCCAAUGAACAUUGAAAUGCUCAUUAAUCCAACAAAUGAGGAACUAACUAUCACUUGAGAUCUUCUCAGAUGAAGCUUCCAUUGUAUGGUUGAUGGAGGUGUAGCUGCAGAAGAACAAUUGCUCUGGAUGGCAUGCUAGAUAUGUACUCCUCAUUAUGAGCAAAAUUCAUCGAACAAGUAACGGCUUUAUUCAUCCAAGCAUCUCAAACACUGAGAUGGAAAGAUUUAUUACCAACCAGAACACUUAUGUGGCACAACAGGCUUUAAGUUGAAUGGGAAUGUGUUCCUGGAAGUACGGAAGGAACUUCUAACUAUUAUGGAGUGACACUAUGUUUCCACUCGCCUGUAUGUACUCAAAGAAUGUAGCAUUUUCCCCACUAUUGAGCAAUAAAAAU